CCCUUAGAUGUUCUGGGCUGCACGCGCGCUACACUGACAUACUCAGCAAGUUUCCUUUCCCGAAAGGGUUGGGUAAUCUUGUUAGUGUAUGUCGUGAUGGGGAUAGAAUAUUGUAAUUAUUGCUCUUUAACGAGGAAUUCCUAGUAAGCGCAAGUCAUCAGCUUGCGUUGAUUACGUCCCUGCCCUUUGUACACACCGCCCGUCGCUCCUACCGAUUGAAUGGUCCGGUGAAGCGUUCGGACCGUGGCCUUUGGACGGUUCGCCGUCUGUUGGCUGCGGGAAGUUCGUUAAACCUUAUCAUUUAGAGGAAGGAGAAGUCGUAACA
rnacentral:rRNA from 1 species